rnacentral:rRNA from 1 species
GUAAAGCGCACGUAGGCGGACAUUUAAGUCAGGGGUGAAAUCCCAGGGCUCAACCCUGGAACUGCCUUUGAUACUGGAUGUCUCGAGUCCGGGAGAGGUGAGUGGAACUGCGAGUGUAGAGGUGAAAUUCGUAGAUAUUCGGAAGAACACCAGUGGCGAAGGCGACUCGCUGGACAAGUAUUGACGCUGAGGUGCGAAAGCGUGGGGAGCAAACAGGAUUAGAUACCCGAGUAGUCCG